rnacentral:tRNA from 1 species
CAUUAUGAAGCUAAUUUAGCAUUAACCUUUUAAGUUAAAGAUUAGGAGCCUCAACCUCCUCAUAAUGA